AUGGGUCAUCGAAGGUUUCUUGAUCCUAACCAUGAAUACAAAUUUGAUGAAGAAUCCUUUGAUGGUGUGAAAUUAGGGACAACACCUGGACCACUUACUGGAGACGAAGUUUUGGCCCUCACUGAAAAUAUGAAGACUGUUUUUGCAAAGGACCCUUCCGGGAAAACAACCACAAAGAAGACCAAGGUUGGCGAACCACCAAUGGUUCGGAAAAGAAAAUCCAUAUGGUUUAGGUUGAGAUACUGGAACGACUUGCUACAGCCUCAUAAUCUUGAUGCAAUGCACAUUGAAAUGAAUGUAUGUGAAAAUAUAAUUAACACACUUCUAUGUAUGGAUAACAAAUCAAAAGAUAAGUAUAGCCCUCAUAGAGAUCUAGAGCAUCUUCGAAUAAGAAAAUCUCUCCAACCUGUCCCAGUAGGUGAACAAUUUGAUUUGCCUGCUGCACCCUAUGGAAUGGACAAUGAAAAGAAGAAAUUGUUUUGUGAAAUUUUUAAGGAAGCUAUGUUCCCUGAUGGUUGUGCAUCUGAUAUACGCUGGAAUGUCCUUGUGAAGCAGAAAAAGAUCGUUCGGCUGAAGAGCCAUGACAAUCACAUUCUUUUGCAGCAAUUGCUUCCAGUAGAUGUUCGGAACACAUUGCCAAAGGAAGUCGGUAUUGCCUUGGUUCGUGUCAGCAGAUUCUUCAAGCAAAUAUAUUCUCCUGUCAUUAGCAUAAGUGACAUGGAGAAGCUAGAGGGAGAAAUAGCUGAGACCUUGAGCAUUCUUGAAGCCAUAUUUCUGCCAUCAUUUUUUGAAUUUAUGGUUCACUUGAUGAUUUAUCUUCCAACCCAAGUGAGGCUCGGGGUUCCAAUAAAGUACAGCAGCAUGUACCCAGUAGAAAGGUAUAAUAUGAAGCUAAAGGGGUUUGUACAUACCAAGAACCACCCCGAGGGGUCAAUUGCAGAGGGCUAUGUGUUUGAUGAAAGCUUUACAUUCUGCUCUCGUUAUUUACAUGGAUGUGAGACUAGAUUUAAUAGAAAAUGCUGAAAUGACACCCUUGAGACCAAUGUAUCUACUAUGCCAUUUUUUAUCAACAAGGGUCGAUUUUUGGCUGGAAAGCAUAUAGUGACCUUAGAUCACAAGUCAUGGCUGCAAGCACAUCGAUGUGUUUUGUUUAAUUAUGAUAACAUAGAUUCAUAUUUCAGGUAUUUUAUUUCUAAGAUUUUCUUUCAUUUGAGCCUAUGA
rnacentral:rRNA from 1 species